GCCAGUGUGGUGUAGUGGUUUGAAUGUUGGACGGUGACUCUCGAGACUAGGGUUCGAAUCCCAGUACAGCCA